UACGGGGGAUGCAAGCGUUAUCCGGAAUUAUUGGGCGUAAAGCGCCUGUAGGUUGUUUAAUAAGUCUGUUGUUAAAGACUAGGGCUUAACCCUAGAAAAGCAAUGGAAACUACUAGACUAGAGUAUGGCAGGGGUAGAGGGAAUUUCUAGUGUAGCGGUGAAAUGCGUAGAUAUUAGAAAGAACACCAGUGGCGAAAGCGCUCUACUGGACCAUUACUGACACUCAGAGGCGAAAGCUAGGGUAGCAAAAGGGAUUAGAUACCCCUGUAGUCCUAGCCAUAAACGAUGGAUACUAGAUGUUGUAUUACUCCAGUAUCGUAGCUAACGCGUUAAGUAUCCCGCCUGGGGAGUACGCUCGCAAGGGUG
rnacentral:rRNA from 1 species